rnacentral:rRNA from 1 species
UACGGGGGGGGCAAGCGUUGUUCGGAAUUACUGGGCGUAAAGGGCUCGUAGGCGGCCAACUAAGUCGGAUGUGAAAUCCCCAGGCUUAACCUGGGAACUGCAUCCGAUACUGGUCGGCUUGAAUCCGGGAGAGGGAUGCAGAAUUCCAGGUGUAGCGGUGAAAUGCGUAGAUAUCUGGAGGAAUACCGGUGGCGAAGGCGGCAUCCUGGACCGGCAUUGACGCUGAACAGCGAAAGCUAGGGGAGCAAACAGG